rfam:Morus notabilis contig13653, whole genome shotgun sequence.
UGGCAAUGAGGACAAAAAGGCCGGACUUACGGCUGCUGCCGUUUCUGCUGGUCGGUAGUAGAAUGAUGAAAUUCCCGGUAAAGGUGUUUGUUCUGAGCCAC